UACGGAGGGUGCAAACGUUGCUCGGAAUCAUUGGGCGUAAAGCGCACGUAGGCGGUCCGUUGUGUCGGGAGUGAAAGCCCUCGGCUUAACCGAGGAAGAGCUUUCGAAACUAGCGGACUUGAAUACAGAAGAGGGUCGCGGAAUUCCCGGUGUAGAGGUGAAAUUCGUAGAUAUCGGGAGGAACACCAGUGGCGAAGGCGGCGACCUGGGCUGAUAUUGACGCUGAGGUGCGAAAGCGUGGGUAGCAAACAGG
rnacentral:rRNA from 1 species